rnacentral:rRNA from 1 species
UCCCGGCGCCACAAGUGGGGAUCAGGGUUAUUGGGCCUAAAGCGUUCGUAGCAGGCCGGAUAAAUCUCUUGUGAAAUUGUUGGGCUUAACCUAACGGCGUGCAGGAGAGACUGUUCGGCUAGAGACCGGGAAGAGUAGAGAGUAUUCCUUGGGGAGCGGUAAAAUGCUAUAAUCCUUGGAAGACUACCUGUGGCGAAGGCGCUCUACCAGAACGGGUCUGACUGUGAGGGACGAAAGCUAGGGGA